CCUAGUCUACCUUAGCAAAGUGAUUUUAAGUCAAGUCCCCCGAAACUAAGUGAGCUACUUCAAGGCAGCUUAACGAGCUUAUCCGUCUCUGUUGCAAAAGAGUGGAGAGACCUUCAAGUAGAGGUGAUAGACCAAACGAACUUAGUGAUAGCUGGUUAUUCAAGAAAAGGAUUUUAGUCCCACCUAAAGCUACUACAUCUGUCACUGAACAAAAAUCUUUAACUUUAGAGUAAUUCAAUUAAGGUACAGCCUACUUGAAACAGGAUACAACCUUUACUAAUGGGUAAACUUUUAUACUUAUCAUCUUUAAGUAGGCCUAAAAGCAGCCACCUUUCAGACAGCGUCAAAGCUUCUCCAUGAACUAUAAAAAAUACCAACAUUAUUAUUUAACCCUUUAUUAAUAUUGAAUAGUUCUAUAUUACUAUAGAAAUUUUUAUGUUAAAACUAGUAACAAGAACAAGAUUUUCUCUAUAUGUAGGUAUAUAUCAGAAAGGACAAGCCACUGAUAAUUAAC
rnacentral:rRNA from 1 species